rnacentral:rRNA from 1 species
AAUGAAUGUUGGCGGCGUGGAUUAGGCAUGCAAGUCGAGCGAACAGAGGGGGCUUGCCCCCGAAGUGAGCGGCGAAAGGGAGAGCAAUAUAUGGAUUAUCUGCCCUCAGGAUCGGGAUAGCUACGGGAAACUGUAGGUAAUACCGAAUAAUAUCUCCGGAUCAAAGGUGAGAUUCCGCCGGGGGACGGGUCUGCGUCCUACUAGCUAGUUGGUGAGGUAACGGCUCACCAAGGCGACGAUGGGUACCGGGCGUCAGAGCGUGACCCGGAUCACUGGGACUGAGACACUGCCCAGACACCUACGGGUGGCUGCAGUCGAGAAUCUUCGGCAAUGGACGAAAGUCUGACCGAGCGACGCCGCGUGCGGGACGAAGGCCUUCGGGUUGUAAACCGCUGUCAAGUUGGAGGAAAUGCGUGGGGGUCAUCCCCUGCGUUUGACCGAUAGCAAAAGGAAGGACGGGCUAAGUUCGUGCCAGCCGCCGCAGUAAGAC